AUUGAACGCUGGCGGCAGGCCUAACACAUGCAAGUCGAGCGAGCGGCGGACGGGUGAGUAAUGUAUGGGGACUGCCCGAUGGAGGGGGAUAACUACUGGAAACGGUGGCUAAUACCGCAUACUGUCGAAUGACCCAGAUGGGAUUAGCUAGUAGGUAGGGUAAUGGCUUACCUAGGCGACGAUCCCUAGAUGGUCUGAGAGGAUGAGCAGCCACAAUGGGAAUGAGACACGGACCAGACGCCUACGGAGGCAGCAGUGGGUAAUAUUGCACAAUGGGCGCAAGCCUGAUGCAGCCAUGCCGCGUGUAUGAAGAAGGCCCUAGGGUUGUAAAGUACUUUCAGUCGGGAGGCGUUACCGACAGAAGAAGCACCGGCUAACUCCGUGCCAGCAGCCGCGGUAAUAC
rnacentral:rRNA from 1 species